rnacentral:rRNA from 1 species
AGUAAUACAUAGGUAACCUGCCCUAGACAGGGGGAUAACUAUUGGAAACGAUAGCUAAGACCGCAUAGGUACGGACACUGCAUGGUGACCGUAUUAAAAGUGCCUCAAAGCACUGGUAGAGGAUGGACUUAUGGCGCAUUAGCUGGUUGGCGGGGUAACGGCCCACCAAGGCGACGAUGCGUAGCCGACCUGAGAGGGUGACCGGCCACACUGGGACUGAGACACGGCCCAG